UAGGGAAUCUUCCGCAAUGGGCGAAAGCCUGACGGAGCAACGCCGCGUGAGUGAUGAAGGUCCUCGGAUCGUAAAACUCUGUUAUUAGGGAAGAACAAAUGUGUAAGUAACUAUGCACGUCUUGACGGUACCUAAUCAGAAAGCCACGGCUAACUACGUGCCAGCAGCCGCGGUAAUACGUAGGUGGCAAGCGUUAUCCGGAAUUAUUGGGCGUAAAGCGCGCGUAGGCGGUUUUUUAAGUCUGAUGUGAAAGCCCACGGCUCAACCGUGGAGGGUCAUUGGAAACUGGAAAACUUGAGUGCAGAAGAGGAAAGUGGAAUUCCAUGUGUAGCGGUGAAAUGCGCAGAGAUAUGGAGGAACACCAGUGGCGAAGGCGACUUUCUGGUCUGUAACUGACGCUGAUGUGCGAAAGCGUGGGGAUCAAACAGG
rnacentral:rRNA from 1 species